AUUUUGUAUUUUUAGUAGAGAUGGGGUUUCACCAUGUUGGCAAGGCUGGUCUCCUGACCUCAGAUGAUCCACUGGCCUCGGCCUCCCAAAGUGCUGGGAUUACAGGCAUGAGCCACCUUGCCCAGCCCAUACUUAUUUUUUUGUUUGUUUAGAUGGGUUCUCACUCCGUUGCCCAGGCUGGAGUGCAAUGGCAUGAUCUCAGCUCACUGCAACUUCUGCCUCCUGGGUUCAAACAAUUCUUAUUCCCCAGUCUCCCAAGUAGUUGGGACUAUAGAUGCGUGCCACCACACCCAGCUAAUUUUUGCAUUUUUAGUAGAGAUGGGGUUUCACCAUGUUGGCCAAGCUGGUCUCGAACUCCUGACCUCAAGUGAUCUGUCCGCCUUGGCCUCUCAAAGUGCUGAUAUUACAGGCGUGAGCCACUGCACCAGGCCUGUAUACCAUAUAUUACAUAUUUAUAUAUAUUUAUCUGUCCUCUACUGGAUUAACUUGGCUUUAACCAAUUCAAUACUUCAAUGUUUAAGGGAUGCCACCUCUGUGGUUAGCAUAUAAAGAUUGUGACUUCCAUCUUGCCAUCCAGCCUUCUGCCUUGCUGAUUGAUGAUUGAAAAAAAAUCACCUAUUUUGUUAUUAUGACUGUGGAAUGUCUUUUGUUCAUUUUAAUAUUUGUGUCACCAAAAGGAUCAACGUGGAAUGGAUAUGGCAUUAAAGGAGAAUGUCAAAUACUGCAUGGGAUGGCUAAGGCCUGUUCCACACAUUCUGGGGUGCCCCUGUGAUAAUAAUAGGUGCUGAUAAACUUCCAUGUUGAGAAAGUUCACAUAUCGAGAGACUAAUAGUGGGCCUUAGCCAGCAGUCAAUGAGAAACUAAAGCCCUCAGUUCAGCAGUCUGUGAGAAGCCAAAUUCUACCCACAAUGAUGUGAGUUCAACAUGAGUUCUUCCCCGCUGGAGUCUUCAGAUGAGACCUCAGCCCUGGCUGGCACCUUGAUGGCACCUUGUAAAUAAACUCAAUGCAGAGGAUUCAACUAUUUUCUAAAUUCUGAUCCACAGAAGGAGAUGCUUUCUUCUUCGUGGACUGAUGCAUAGUCCCCAAAACCUUCUUCAACACGGCAUCAGCGCAAUCUCCUUUGACCCACCCAUUUCCCCCAAAAUCCCUUCCUCAGAAAAAUUCAUCAUCCCACCUCUCUACAUUAAAAGCACCUUAACCUUCUAACAGCACGUAAUUGGCCUACUUGCAAUGGCACACACAGUGUGUGUGUGUGUGUGUGUGUGUGUGUGCGUGUGUGUGUGUGGGUUGGUGGGGGUCGCCAUCCAUCACACUGUGGAUUCCAUUUCCAUAUCUGUCCCUAAUGGCUUGCUUUAAAGCUAUUUGUUUUAUAUUUAUUUUUUAUUCUAUUUUAUUUUAUUGAGACAGGGCCUCACUCUUUCACCCAGGCUGGAGUGCAAUGGCACGAUCUCUGCUC
rnacentral:lncRNA from 10 species